UCUAGGUAGAAUUAUGAUAAUGACAUUGUCUGCCUAUGUGUCUUGACCAAAUUACGUGCCAGCAGUCGCGGUAAUACGUAGAAGACUAGUGUUAUUCAUGUUUAAUCGGUUUAAAGGGUACCUAGACGGCAGAUCAAGCUUUCCGAGCAGAAAAAAAGUAAAAAGGACUAAUUUGCUAGAGUUACUUACGAGGGGGUUUUAAAGUACUGCUGGUGUAGAGAUGAAAUUCUUUAAUACCUAUUUUCGAAAGAAUUAUAAUGGCACAGGUAUAGGCGAAGGCAUCCCCUUAUGUGAUAACUGACGUUGAGGGACGAAGGCUUUAUACAACGAACGGGAUUAGAUACCCCAUUAGUGGAAGCAGUAAAUGAUGAAUGUCAUAGAUUAGUAGAUAGGUUCAUUCUAUAAAUGAAAGUGUAAGCAUUCCACCUCAUGAGUAAUAUGGCAACAUUGGAAUUGAAAUCAUUAGACCGUAUUUGAAACCAGUAGUGAAGUAUGUUGUUUAAUUUGAUGAUCCGCAAAAAACCUUACCACAAUUUGAAUAUUUAUAUUUUUUUUUUUUGUCCUUAAUUUUCUUCUAAAGUGGAAAGAAAUUAAUAAAGAGGCAAUAAGAUAUAUUUACAAGCGUUGCACGGCUGUCUUCAGUUAAUGUCGCGAGAUUUUGGUUAGAUCCAUAAAAUUAAC
rnacentral:rRNA from 1 species